CACGUACAGAGAAUCAGUCGGCCUUUCGUGGUCUUUCGAACCAUAUCGUGGUAUACAUAGUGAUUGUAAUAAAGUGUGUGUGAAUAUACAUCCCUUUAACAUUGCGCAUAUUGCUUAAACAUUAGUUUGCUGCAAUUAAUUUAAAGAAAAAAUAUAAUUUCUUUAACGUAAUUUCCAAUUAACAUUCUGCUUCAAAAUAUUGGAGUGUUUACGGAUCUAAAAUAGAUGUCCCUUUUCUCCAACAUGAUGAUAUUUCUAAAACUAUUAUUAAGUAGCGGAUUAAUUUUUAUUGCUGCGACAGCUUCCACUCGCAAUGAAUAUGUAUGCUAUCAAAAAUCAAAAAUGUAAUACCAAUGCAUUACGAUAUCAAGCUUAUAACACAUAUUGAAAGAAAUAUUUUCCGUGGGGAAUACAAUAUCAGCAUAAACAUUCUUAAUAAAACUCAACACAUAUAUUUACAUUCGGAAAUAUGUGUUAAGAGUGUGGUUCUAAUUACAAAUUUUGAAAGAUAUCAUGAGAAUCAUAAAGAUAUCGUUUAUGAACCGACAUAUAAUACUGAAGAAAACACAAUUUAUAUGUUCUUUAUAGAUGAGUUAUCACCAGGAAAUUACAUCUUAAAUAUAAAAUAUUUUGGUGUUGCUGAUAAAGUCUUUAGAAUUUUUGACGUGAAAAA